CAUCUAAGUACCCUGAGGAAAAGAAAUCAACCGAGAUUCCCUUAGUAGUGGCGAGCGAACGGGGACCAGCCCUUAAGCUGGUUUGAGAUUAGUGGAACACUCUGGAAAGUGUGGCCAUAGUGGGUGAUAGCCCCGUACACGAAAAUCUCUUGCCAGUGAAAUCGAGUAGGACGGAGCACGAGAAACUUUGUCUGAACAUGGGGGGACCAU
rnacentral:rRNA from 1 species